UCGGGGAUCGUCUAACGGUAGGACAGUGGGUUCUGGUCCCACCAGUCUAGGUUCGAAUCCUAGUCCCCGAGCCG
rnacentral:tRNA from 1 species